rnacentral:rRNA from 1 species
CCCUUAGAUGUUCUGGGCAGCACGCGCGCUACAAUGGUCUUCGCAAACGGAUGCAUUCUCGAAGGAGAAUGCCAAUCUUGGAAUCUAUGCCUUGGUCGGGACAGUUGCUUGCAAUUUUUCGACUCGAACCAGGAAUUCCUUGUAAUCGUGAUUCAUCACAUCACGAUGAAUACGUCCCUGCCCUUUGUACACACCGCCCGUCGCUCCUACCGAUUGAGUGGUCCGGUGAACCUUCUGGAUUAAGCAGCAAUGCUUGAGAAGUUAGGUAAACCUUAUCACUUAGAGGAAGGAGAAGUCGUAACA